rnacentral:rRNA from 1 species
UACGGAGGGGGCUAGCGUUGUUCGGAAUUACUGGGCGUAAAGCGUACGUAGGCGGACAGGGAAGUUGGGGGUGAAAUCCCGGGGCUCAACCCCGGAACUGCCUCCAAAACUCCCUGUCUGGAGGAUGAGAGAGGCGAGUGGAAUUCCGAGUGUAGAGGUGAAAUUCGUAGAUAUUCGGAGGAACACCAGUGGCGAAGGCGGCUCGCUGGCUCAUUUCUGACGCUGAGGUGCGAAAGCGUGGGGAGCAAACAGG